rnacentral:rRNA from 1 species
UACGGGGGGAGCAAGCGUUGUUCGGAUUUACUGGGCGUAAAGGGCGCGUAGGCGGUCAGCACAAGUCAGUUGUGAAAUCUCCGGGAUUAACUCGGAAAGGUCAACUGAUACUGUGCGACUAGAGUGCAGAAGGGGCAACUGGAAUUCUCGGUGUAGCGGUGAAAUGCGUAGAUAUCGAGAGGAACACCUGCGGCGAAGGCGGGUUGCUGGGCUGACACUGACGCUGAUGCGCGAAAGCCAGGGGAGCGAACGGG